UGAGGGAAAGUUUCAAAGCACUUUGAAAAGAGGGUGAAAAGAACCUGAAACCGUUAUGGGGGAAGCGUAUUGGGUCAAAUUGAUUUGGGGGAGUGCUGCUGUUCAACGGGGUGAUUCCCGUGUACUCAGUGCAUUUUCUUACCCGUCGUGUGCUUUGGAUGGUCGAUUUUGGGCUGUCUGGGGCUGAGGGAUCCCCUUUUAUAGGGUGAAGACGAUGGGGCGCUGACACGAUACGACCCGUCUUGAAACACGGACCAAGGAGUUCAGCAUGUGUGCGAGUCAAAGGGUGAUUAAACCUGGGGGCGCAGUGAAAGCAACUUUUGUGUAAGGGAAUCCAACAUUAAGCAGUUUCAGGCGGCAUACGAUCGUUGAUUGUAGGACUGACCUAGAGCACAUGUGCUGAGACCCGAAAGAUGGUGAACUAUGCCGGAGUAGGGCGAAGCCAGAGGAAACUCUGGUGGAGGCUCGUAGCGGUGCUGACGUGCAAAUCGCUCGUCUGACUCGGGUAUAGGGGCGAAAGACUAAUCGAACCAUCUAGUAGCUGGUUUCCUCCGAAGUUUCUCUCAGGAUAGCAGGCCGACGAAUAAGCAUGAAGUCUCAGUUGUUGUGUGCGGUAAAGCGAAUGAUUAGCGUAUUUGGGGGUGAUUA
rnacentral:rRNA from 1 species